rnacentral:rRNA from 1 species
AUUUAGCCAUGUUAGUCGAGGGUGCUUCUUCUUCUUCGGAGGAAGCGGUAACCCGGCAGACGGCUCAGUAACACGUGGAUAACUUAUCCUUUGGAAUAACCCUUGGGAAGGGGCUAAUAUCGGAUAGAACAUUGAUCGGGAAUGCAUGAUGCUCGAAAGCUACCGCCAAAGGAUGGGUCUGCGGCCGAUUAGGUAGUUGUUGAUGUAACGGAUCAACAAGCCUUCGAUCGGUAUGGGUUGUGAGAGCAAUAGCCCAGAGAUGGGUUCUGAGAGAAGAACCCAGGUCCUACGGGACGCAUCAGGCGCGAAAACUUUACAAUGUGCGCAAGCACGAUAAGGGAACUCUGAGUGCCUCCUAUGGAGGCUGUUCAGGUGUCUAAAAAGCAUCUGAAGGAAGGGCUGGGUAAGACCGGUGCCAGCCGCCGCGGUAACACCGGCAGCCCAAGUGGUGGCCACUUUUACUGGGUCUAAAGCGUCCGUAGCCGGCUAAGUAAGUUCCUUGGGAAAUUUGAUCGCUUAACGAUUAAGCUUUCAGGGAAUACUGCAUGGCUUGGGACCGGGAGAGGUCAGAGGUACCUCAAGGGUAGGGGUGAAAUCUUAAUCCUUGGACCGCCAGUAGCGAAGGCGUCUGACCAGACCGGAUCCGACGGUGAGGGACGAAGGCUAGGGUAGCGAACCGGAUUAGAUACCCGGGUAGUCCUAGCUGUAAACGAUGCGGGCUAGGUGUUGGCAUUACUGCGAGUGAUGCCAGUGCCGAAUGGAAGCCGUUAAGCCCGCCAUCUGGGGAGUACGGUCGCAAGGCUGAAACUUAAAGGAAUUGGCGGGGGAGCACUACACGGGUAGAGCCUGCGGUUCAAUUG